AUGGAGCCGGCCUUGAAAUACCACCCUUUAAUGUUUGAUGUUCUAACGUGGACCCGUGAUCCGGGUUGCGGACAGUGUCUGGUGGGUAGUUUGACUGGGGCGGUCUCCUCCUAAAGAGUAACGGAGGAGCACGAAGGUUGGCUAAUCCUGGUCGGACAUCAGGAGGUUAGUGCAAUGGCAUAAGCCAGCUUGACUGCGAGCGUGACGGCGCGAGCAGGUGCGAAAGCAGGUCAUAGUGAUCCGGUGGUUCUGAAUGGAAGGGCCAUCGCUCAACGGAUAAAAGGUACUCCGGGGAUAACAGGCUGAUACCGCCCAAGAGUUCAUAUCGACGGCGGUGUUUGGCACCUCGAUGUCGGCUCAUCACAUCCUGGGGCUGAAGUAGGUCCCAAGGGUAUGGCUGUUCGCCAUUUAAAGUGGUACGCGAGCUGGGUUUAGAACGUCGUGAGACAGUUCGGUCCCUAUCUGCCGUGGGCGCUGGAGAACUGAGGGGGGCUGCUCCUAGUACGAGAGGACCGGAGUGGACGCAUCACUGGUGUUCGGGUUGUCAUGCCAAUGGCACUGCCCGGUAGCUAAAUGCGGAAGAGAUAAGUGCUGAAAGCAUCUAAGCACGAAACUUGCCCCGAGAUGAGUUCUCCCUGACCCUUUAAGGGUCCUGAAGGAACGUUGAAGACGACGACGUUGAUAGGCCGGGUGUGUAAGCGCAGCGAUGCGUUGAGCUAACCGGUACUAAUGAACCGUGAGG
rnacentral:rRNA from 2 species